GCCUAUUGUUGUGGGUGGGCAUAGAGGUCGGAAUCCGGAAGCGUCGCAGCGCUACUUUGGCCCUGAAGCUGUUGGCGCCGGGAUAGAGCUGGGGGUCGCAGCAUCGCCAUGGCAGCGCUGAGACGGCACGUGUUCGUGGAGAAAGUUCUGAGGAGGCUUUUCCCUAGUGUUCCCUGUGGCCAAGAAAAGAGGGUACCCGUGGCUCCAGCUUCUGGAAACCCAGCCGAGAGGGUGGCCACUACAGACCUCAGGGGCAGGAGUGCCACCACCUUGACAGGUGGAGACUCCAAGGUCCCUCCUCGAAGGCGGCUCUACACGGCGAGUUUGCCUCCUGAGGGGUACGUCCCAGCCCCCCCAGAGCCGCAGGCCAGCCUGGCCUCCGAGGACAGCUCGGGCAGCGAUGACGCAGGAAAAGGAUGCCCCCUCUCAGAUCAGGAUUUUCACGAUCAACCAAAGAGAAGAAGAGCUAGAAAGCAUAAAUCAAAGAAAAAUUCUAAAGAUCCCAAUAAUAUUCAUGGAGAACAAGAAGAAUUAGAGAAACAGCAGAGUCUUUUGCAAGAAAAAUUGCAGCCCCAGUGCACAGAUGGCCCCAGCAUCAGCAGAAAUAAAAAAAGGAAACUGAAAAAGAAACAGCAAAUUAAAAGGAAAAAAGCAGCCGGCGUGAUCACCAAAGCUUCUGGCGUCAACUUCCUGUACCAGCCUGAGCAGAGCGACAGCGAACGCGACGUCGAGCAGCAAAGUGAUGGCGGGGACGGAGCAGACGCCCGCGGGGGGGAUGGCGCAGACGCCCGCGGGCACUGCAGUACAGACACCGGUGAGGAAAACCAUAAAGACAGCAAUGAGGAAGGUGUUAAAAGUAUCAAUGAAAAGGCGGCUGGUAUCCUGAACUUUCUAAAGUCAACACAAGAAAUUUAUUUUUAUGACGGUAUCUGCCAGGAUCCAGGCUCGGCCGUCCUCCUGGAAACCACUCAGGAGCUAUUUAAGCAUCUUGACGGUCACAGCCUGUCCCCCUCAGAUGUGCUCCUGCUGGAUCACAUGAAAAGCCUGUUACUUCUGCAAGAUACCCAAGGGCUGAAACGAGCCCUCGAAAUGUUCCCGGAACGCUGCACACUGCCGCCAGCGUGGUGAGUACUGACGGCGUCCACACAUGCACACAGCACAGCCCACCCUGUUCCUCACGAACUCUCAGGCCUACGUUCAGGAGCCACUGCCGUCUACACAUCUGCGCCAACUCCCCCAGACUCCUUGGAGAAGGACUGAUUCCAGGCCCCGAGCAGAGGUACCCGGGGGUCGGAGUUUCUUGUUCCAGGAAGCACGUAAGGGCUCAGACCUUGCAAAGGACUCACCAGAGUGACACAGAAGCCAAACUGGGAAUCAGGAGGCGGGUCGAAGGCUUUCUCAACAGUGGGCCAGUGGUUUCGGGGAGACGAGGGUCGGCUAACGGCACAGGCGUGCUUUCUGCCGGUUGCGAGAUGUGAAGUCGUGAUGUAACGGCCACUCGUUUAUGUCCACGAGGGUCCUCGGUGAGAUGCGCGUUGUUCCGCUUGGUCUUCUGCCGGAUCAGCCUGAACGGUUUCCCCGGUCCUCCUGCAGGUGCUCUGUGUCCAAACCUGGCAUGGGCUCAAGGUCAGGGCACGUGAGCCAGAGCCCUGGGCGCCCACGGGACUGGGCUUCCCUGCUACUGUGGAGCUCAGCCCUCAGGCGGUGGCCGCCCAUCCAGUGGCCUGUGCGUCACCGCUAGGGGCUGUCCGGAUGGGUGUGGCGGCAUCAUCAAAGCCCUUCUUAGCUGGAACAUGUGUGACCCAGAAGAGCUAGGGCAAUCCCCACCCCCGCGUGGUCAGCUGGGGAACAGACACCCCCCCGAGACCAGCAGCAAGUGGCCGGUGUGCCAGCGGGGCUGCUGGGGUGUUGUGCCUCCGGUUCCUCACCCAGGACCAGGUGACAGCGGCAGGACUAAGGGAGACAAGCGCCUUGUGUCCUCAGGAAGCCAGACCACACCUCCGGGAGCCCUCACGCGGCCAGCGAGUAGGAGGCAGAGGCCGGAUUAACUUCCUGCCCACGUUGCUGCCGGUAAGUAGCCUGAGGCACCGAGCUCUCCUUCCUCACUGUUUCUCUCCCAGGCAGGCGGCGUGGACGUUGUGACGGGGAGGCCCGGGGCCCCGUGUUUCCUGGCGGAGUGGCCCCUCGAGGAAGAGUGGGGUCACGGCAGUGGGGGGAUGGGGCUCAGGGACAGAGCCAACGGUGGGAAAUGUACCUACUGGGACCAGACAUCCUUGGAACAGAAAGCACUAUGCAA